GACAUUUGUGACCAAGCAACAUUAGAGCAGAAUCAUGAAGACAAAACCACUUAAGUUAGGGGAUCGGGCCCUUAAGGAGAGACCCGAUCCGGUCCUGAGAGAACGGACCUUGGCGAAGCCAAAAGGAGAAUUACGAGCCGCAAUACAACCUGAAGCCGAAAUGACGAAGGUCCGCCAAAGUUGAAGGAAAAUCCGCCAAGGAGUCUUUAUUGAGCAAUUCAGCUGAAGAGGACUCUAGUAGCGAUCAUUCGGUCUACUAGGGUACCAUACAAUCAAAAUAAAGCCAUAUUUAUACAAAAUUUCAGUCUGACAGCCCUUUGAAUUUCCCGCCCUGCUCCCCCGCCCAUCUGAUCGUUGAUAGGCUAGAAGGUUGAACGAGGCGGGCUUUCGUUUCCCGCCUUGCUCCGUUGGCCCAAUAGGAAGCUGCCUUUUGUCUCUACUCGGGCCAAUCAGGAAAGAGAAGGCGGGAGUUAUUGAAACAAUGAGGUGACAGGGCAGGAACUAUCGGAUUAAGUCCUGCUAGACCGAUUUCUUAAAGGGUGCUUAAUUUAUUAAUGGCAGCAAUCAAGGGUGUCCGGGUUUCUGUCACGUAUACAGAUUUUAGAUAUGCCUUGGGGUGUCAGAGGUGGAAGCAAAGAUGGGUGGUGAUGAGCCAUAUUGACAGGCUCUGCAGGGCGCCUUCCUGAGGUGUCCUGGAUUUUCCUUUGGGUGAGAUAUGACAAUGUUUGCCUUGGGGCGAAUCACCUUUAGGACAACACUCUGAAUUCGGCGACUCAAGCCCUAUAUUGUCCAUGCAAUUUGAAUUUGAUUGGGUUUAGCGGUGGCAGAUUAUCCUUUUGUUUUUGGGAAGGGAAGCCUGGGUCAUAGGAAAUGGGAUAAGUUCUGGGGUUCAGGUUGAGUUCAAAAUAUUUCCUAUUUGAUUUCAUGACUUGACAAUUAUAUGAAAUAAAAUGAAAAAUAAAAUAAAGUUGGAAUAUAAACCAUGCUGGGAAAAAUACAUAUUUUCCGGGGAUCCCAAAGAGUACAAAUACAUAUAGGCAGAUAGAUAGAUUUCAUGGAAAUAAGGGAGAAUCCAUAAAAGUGAGUUACAUUGCAUAAAGGGGAAUCAUGAAUGGUAUAAACAAUUGAAAAUAUUUGAUAAGAACGAAGUUCAUAACAUCUGGAGAACCCAGCAUGGAAAUUCAUAAAAGUGGAGUUUUAGCAGCAUGAUUUUACAAUUCAUG
rnacentral:lncRNA from 11 species